CUGUCGAAUGUGAUGGUGUGAUAGACCGCCCAGUGCAGGUAGCAGGAGGCGGUGGCAGCACACUGCACGAAGAGCAUCACGACCACGGUAUUCAGCUGCAGGGACCGCCUCAGGC
rnacentral:SRP_RNA from 15 species